GAUGGACGCUGGCGGCGUGCCUAAUACAUGCAAGUCGAGCGAACGGACGAGAAGCUUGCUUUUCUGAUGUUAGCGGCGGACGGGUGAGUAACACGUGGAUAACCUACCUAUAAGACUGGGACAACUUCGGGAAACCGGAGCUAAUACCGGAUAAUAUUUUGAACCGCAUGGUUCAAAAGUGAAAGACGGUCUUGCUGUCACUUAUAGAUGGAUCCGCGCUGCAUUAGCUAGUUGGUAAGGUAACGGCUUACCAAGGCAACGAUGCAUAGCCGACCUGAGAGGGUGAUCGGCCACACUGGAACUGAGACACGGUCCAGACUCCUACGGGAGGCAGCAGUAGGGAAUCUUCCGCAAUGGGCGAAAGCCUGACGGAGCAACGCCGCGUGAGUGAUGAAGGUCUUCGGAUCGUAAAACUCUGUUAUUAGGGAAGAACAUAUGUGUAAGUAACUGUGCACAUCUUGACGGUACCUAAUCAGAAAGCCACGGCUAACUACGUG
rnacentral:rRNA from 1 species